AGGGUUCGAUUCUGGCUCAGGAUGAACGCUGGCGGCGUGCUUAACACAUGCAAGUCGAACGAAGCAUCUGGAAGUUUCGGACAGAAAGAUGACUGAGUGGCGGACGGGUGAGUAACGCGUGGGUAACCUGCCUUAGUACAGGGGGAUAACAGUUGGAAACGACUGCUAAUACCGCAUAAGCCGGCAGGGCCGCAUGGCCUGGUUGGAAAAGAUUUAUCGGUAUAAGAUGGACCCGCGUCUGAUUAGCUAGUUGGUGAGGUAAUGGCUCACCAAGGCGACGAUCAGUAGCCGGCUUGAGAGAGUGAACGGCCACAUUGGGACUGAGACACGGCCCAAACUCCUACGGGAGGCAGCAGUGGGGAAUAUUGCACAAUGGGGGAAACCCUGAUGCAGCAACGCCGCGUGAAGGAAGAAGUAUUUCGGUAUGUAAACUUCUAUCAGCAGGAAAGAAAAUGACGGUACCAGACUAAGAAGCCCCGGCUAACUACGUGCCAGCAGCGGC
rnacentral:rRNA from 1 species